rnacentral:rRNA from 1 species
UGGGGAAUUUUGGACAAUGGGGGAAACCCUGAUCCAGCCAUCCCGCGUGUGCGAUGAAGGCCUUCGGGUUGUAAAGCACUUUUUGCAGGAAAGAAACGUCAUGGGUUAAUACCCCGUGAAACUGACGGUACCUGCAGAAUAAGCACCGGCUAACUACGUGCCAGCAGCCGCGGUACUACGUAGGGUGCAAGCGUUAAUCGGAAUUACUGGGCGUAAAGCGUGCGCAGGCGGUUCGGAAAGAAAGAUGUGAAAUCCCAGAGCUCAACUUUGGAACUGCUUUUUUAACUACCGUGCUAGAGUGUGUCAGAGGGAGGUGGAAUUCCGCGUGUAGCAGUGAAAUGCGUAGAUAUGCGGAGGAACACCGAUGGAGAAGGCAGCCUCCUGGGAUAACACUGACGCUCAUGCACGAAGGCGUGGGGAGCAAACAGG